GACGAACGCUGGCGGCGUGCUUAACACAUGCAAGUCGAACGGAAAGGCCCUGCUUUUGUGGGGUGCUCGAGUGGCGAACGGGUGAGUAACACGUGAGUAACCUGCCCUUGACUUUGGGAUAACUUCAGGAAACUGGGGCUAAUACCGGAUAGGAGCUCCUGCUGCAUGGUGGGGGUUGGAAAGUUUCGGCGGUUGGGGAUGGACUCGCGGCUUAUCAGCUUGUUGGUUGGGUAGUGGCUUACCAAGGCUUUGACGGGUAGCCGGCCUGAGAGGGUGACCGGCCACAUUGGGACUGAGCUACGGCACAGACUACUACGGGAGGCAGCAGUGGGGAAUAUUGCACAAUGGGCGGAAGCCUGAUGCAGCAACGCCGCGUGCGGGAUGACGGCAUUCGGGUUGUAAACCGCUUUCGCCUGUGACGAAGCGUGAGUGACGGUAAUGGGUAAAGAAGCACCGGCUAACUACGUG
rnacentral:rRNA from 1 species